rnacentral:tRNA from 1 species
GCCCUCGUAGCUCAGGUGGAUAGAGCGACGGUUUCCUAAACCGUAGGCCCCGCGUUCGAGUCGCGGCGAGGGCA